rnacentral:lncRNA from 1 species
UGGGCAACAAUCACUAUCACAAAGGAAGACUGCCCAUGACACUGUCUCCUGACAAGAGGCCAGAGGCAGCUUCCUCCCCGAGAGAACUGUGAGAUGACAGUGAUGAACUGGAAGCCAUGGAGUGACUCGAUGUGAUCCUGAACCUCUUGGGUGGGCUUGGUGUUCAUGGAGAGCUGAAGCCCAUAGGGUGGGGUUUCUCCCCACUGUAACCUCAUGUUGUAACAUGAAAUGCCUCUCUUAAAACAAGGAAA